GCCGAGAGCAGCUGAGAUUGCUCACCAGCCCCCCGAAAUGUGUUUUCACCUCACCCGUGGCACUCGAGCUCCUUCUUGAGC
rnacentral:ribozyme from 1 species